UGGGGCUUAACCCCCUAAAACUCCUUUUGAAAACUUGGGUUUUGAGGGGCUGGAGGGCCAAUCGGAAUUUCUAUGGGUAGGGGUGAAAUGGGUAAAUUAUUAGGGGGGACACCCAGGGGCGAAGGCGGGAUUGGCGGGCCAGUAACUGACGGUGGGGCGCGAAAGUGUGGGGAGCAAACAGGAUUAGAUACCCUGGGUAGUCCACACCGUAAACGAUGAAUAUUAGGUGUGCGGGGACUGACCCCCUGCGUGCCGCAGUAAAACACAAUAAGUAUUCCACCUGGGGAGUACGAUCGCAAGGUUGAAACUCAAAGGAAUUGACGGGGGCCCGCACAAGCGGUGGAUUAUGUGGUUUAAUUCGAAGCAACGCGAAGAACCUUACCAGGGUUUGACAUCCUGCUAACGAAGUAGAGAUACAUCAGGUGCCCUUCGGGGAAAGCAGAGACAGGUGGUGCAUGGUUGUCGUCAGCUCGUGUCGUGAGAUGUUGGGUUAAGUCCCGCAACGAGCGCAACCCCUAUUGUUAGUUGCUACGCAAGAGCACUCUAGCGAGACUGCCGUUGACAAAACGGAGGAAGGUGGGGACGACGUCAAAUCAUCAUGCCCCUUAUAUCCUGGGCUACACACGUAAUACAAUGGAUGAUACAGCGAGAAGCGAAGUCGCGAGGCCAAGCGGAUCUCUUAAAGUCAUUCUCAGUUCGGAUUGUUCUCUGCAACUCGAGAGCAUGAAGCCGGAAUCGCUAGUAAUCGUGGAUCAGCACGCCACGGUGAAUACGUUCCCGGGUCUUGUACUCACCGCCCGUCA
rnacentral:rRNA from 1 species